UUUGUCAACAGUUCGGUCGUCAUUCUCUUGAUUCGAGCGGAAGUUCCACUUUCCCCUUGGGGACCCUGGACACUCCAUGUCAUUGGCAAGCAUGCUACAGCCACAGCACAGACAAGCACUCCUCUGAGUGCCAUUUUCCGUUCAGUUCCACAGAGCCACCUGAACCCCUAGGGAGCUAAAUGGUCAGGGUUCUUAGUUCUUCACCGGUUUGAGACUGAUGCCAAACUAUAAUUGGCACCCCCUUUGCAGCCGGAUACUUCGCCCUGACCGGGGCCUAGGAGCCAAGCACUCUCUGCAGCUUACAGUGGCUGAGAUGUAUCCAGCUGGGUCUUUCUGCACAGCUGUGGGUGUGGCGAGUAGGACUUGGAAUGGUCCCUCCCACCGGGGUGAAGACCACGUCUUUCGUUUGAUUACUUUGAUGAAGACCCAGUCACCUGGUUUUGCUGAGCCAUCCUUUUGGUCCUGAACUCGGCAUUUUUA